UGAUGGUAAUAGUAAUAAUGGAAUUAUAAUAUACUGAAAAUAGGGUUAAGGUGGAAAAAGGGUAGACAUGAGUUUUAAAAAGAAAAAAAAGAAAAAAAGAAGGGUUUAAAAAGAAAAAGAGAGAACCGUGUGAGAGGUAGCAGGAGGAGAAGGAGAGAAAGAGUAGUGCGUGCGUGAAACUUCAGAAAGGGAGGGAGAACGGUUCCGUUUCAAAGAUUUUGAUCAGGGAACUCGGAGCUGCACUCAAUCCAAAGGUAACUAGGAGGAGUAGUCUAUAACUUUUAGUUCGAGAUGAAGUCCUUGCUCCGAUACGUAGCACUCGGGGGGGGGGGGGGGGGGGAAAUGGACGCUUGUUUUCCUUUCUGUUAUAAUUUGAAUUAAGUUGUUAUUUGAGAAGUUGUUUCUGUUUUAAGUUGUGGGCAAGAUACUAUGUUUUCUUUAAGUUUUAAAGACAUUGGAUUCGCUGCAUAACUAUUUGUCAAAGUGAACUAGUUCAAAGACUAAUUAACUGUCACAAGAGCAUUUAAGUUUA